rnacentral:rRNA from 1 species
GAUGAACGCUGGCGGCGUGCCUAAUACAUGCCAGUCGAGCGAACAGAUGAGGCGCUUGCUCCUCUGACGUUAGCGGCGGACGGGUGAGUAACACGUGGAUAACCUACCUAUAAGACUGGGAUAACUUCGGGAAACCGGAGCUAAUACCGGAUAAUAUAUUGAACCGCAUGGUUCAAUAGUGAAAGACGGUUUUGCUGUCACUUAUAGAUGGAUCCGCGCCGCAUUAGCUAGUUGGUAAGGUAACGGCUUACCAAGGCAACGAUGCGUAGCCGACCUGAGAGGGUGAUCGGCCACACUGGAACUGAGACACGGUCCAGACUCCUACGGGAGGCAGCAGUAGGGAAUCUUCCGCAAUGGGCGAAAGCCUGACGGAGCAACGCCGCGUGAGUGAUGAAGGUCUUCGGAUCGUAAAACUCUGUUAUUAGGGAAGAACAAAUGUGUAAGUAACUAUGCACGUCUUGACGGUACCUAAUCAGAAAGCCACGGCUAACUACGUG